CCUUGAAUCAUAUAUCUCUGAAUUAAAUAUUAGAGCAAACGGUGAUGUUUUGUAUUGUGAAAACUAACAGGUGCAUUUAUUGUUUACAGGAUAUUUAUUGUUUUCUUGUUUAUACAUAAAGUGUCUCUGGAGGUCACAGUCGAGGGUGUUAUCGGUGGAUCUGUUGUCCUGCCAUGUUCUGGAAGUGCAGAUCAGCGUACAAUCCAAGACAUAACUGUAUACUGGCGACAUAAAGAAAGCAUGGUUGUGUAUGAUAUAAUUAAAGGUAAAGGGUCAGUAGAGAAACAAGAGUUAGAGUACAAGAGCAGAGCUGAAAGUUUUCCUGAAAAUUAUUUGAAAGGAAACUUCUCCAUCCAGCUGAACAAUCUUCAAGAGACUGAUGGAGGAAAGUACUCCUGUUUAAUCAGUAAAGAGGCAAUAAUGCGGAAGGUCGAACUUCUUGUCAAAGGUCGUGCAGAGAAAUCAGAAGACCAAAACAACCAUGAAGUAGAGAAAUCAGAAGACAAAAGCAACCAAGGAGCACAAUCAAGACAUGAGAGCUAUUGCAUAAAAGCAAGAUAAGGGAUUAAGCUGAGAUUUUCUAGUAAUCCUGGCUGAAUUUAGCCCUGACUUGGUUGCAUGAAGGGAGGCUAAAUUAAUCUUGAUGAAGUUACUAUGGAGAUUUACUCUUUGCAGCUAGCCUGCCUGCUCCAGAGUAGGCUAACAACCAGGCUAAGAUUAAUCCUAGUGAUUAAUUCAAUUCAAAGAACUUUAUUAAUCCUGGGGGGACAUUGCUUUUGUGUUACAAUUAUUAAAAAGAAAGUAAUGAAAUAAAAAAGAAAUAAAAACAUAAUUAUAUGCCCAUCAAUGAUUUAAAAAUUAAUAGAUAAUAAAAAAAAAAUUUAAAACUAUACCCGGGUAAUUUACUUCAAUAAUGAAUUGUCCCAGCACUUACGAAGAGGAGUUAUACAGCCUAAUGGUCACAGGUUCACUUCUAAAAUGCUCAGUAAGUACUGGAGUGAUCAGUCUCUGACUAAAUGUAUGUGCAUGUCAUUCUAUUUAAAAACAUAAUUUGACAUAUUUAAAAUGUCAAAAGAUACUUUAAUACUUUGAAAAAUAUGCAAAUUAUGCUUUUCCAAAUUAUUAUGCAAAAUGCACUUUAUCAAAAGUCAGUGUGUUAAAAUGAUCCACUAAACAGAUAUCUGUUAAAUGUGCUGCAUGGACAGAUAAUAAAAAACAUUGUAAAUCAAAUAAUGUAUGUACAUAAUAAUAUAGUCUUUAUUUCACUUGUGUUUGUGAUGUUUACAUUUAGGAUGUUUGGUUUGUUUGACUGUUUAUCUUGAUCUACAUUUAUUUUCAAACCAAGCAUCUUUAUACGAGUCUUUAAGAGAAUGCAAUAAACACAUACAAAAUAAAGUGUUUGAAUACACAGAGCUGACCCUUUUAAAACAUAGUAUUUAAAAAUCAUUUCUAAUUGAUUAACAUUCCCAAAAGUAAAUGGUGGUUAAAAUAGUAGUGUCAAUCUUGAAAUUAACAUUUCUACCACGUGGUGUCACUGUAAACCAGUUUAAACCUCAUUCAAAAAAAAAAUGUUGAACCUAUACAAACCACUCAUUUGUAGACAUAACUUUAAUUGUUAUUGUUGUUAUUUAUGUUGAGAAUUAGUUUAUCUCUCAUGAGAUUUAUUAUUAUAGCAAUUUUUAUUAGCAGGUGUUAUCGACCAUUUUGCAAGAUGUAAACAGCACUGGUUCAGAAGCUCUUCCUGUUGUUUUUUAGUUCACAUUUAUUUUACAUUUUUAUUCAGUUUUAAAUUUUCUGUUGGUUGUAUUUUGUUCUAAUAUUAAUUAAUAUUAAUAUUUUGUUGAGUGUUAAAAAAACUAAAAGAGGAAUGCUUCUGUACCAGUGUUGUUUACAUAUUUAUUUAUAUUUAUAUAUUUAAUAGCUAAAGAUGAUGCAGGUGUUCUCACACUUCUGAGAUAUGAAACUAACACUUUGAAGCUUACAACAGUUUUUUUUUACACACCACACAUGAAGUUUCCACUGACCACAUUGUUAGUCUUUAAUUUGUAAAUGCAUGCAUUGUUGGCAUAUAAUGUGAACAAAUUAUUUUAGAAUUAAUGAGUAUAUAAAAUAUGAAAAAAAUGAAUUUAUGGAAUGUAAUAUCUAAAUUAAACCAAAAUGCAUUUAUGCACAUCAAUACAACACUCAUGUCUGACAAUGUCAUUGUUUAUUGUAUAACUGGAUGUUAAAUGAAAAUGUGAGAUUUUACAAAGUAUGUUGCAUCUUAUACACAACUGUAGUCAUGCUGCGAUUCUUAAGAUUAAAGAGAUAAACUUAUGUAAUAUCAUGAAUAUACUUUAUCACAUAUAAGAAAUGAAGCAGGAUCAGUUAUGUUCAUCAUUUGGGCAGUUGUAGGUCCCGUUGACAUUGACAGACUAAUACCUACUGUAUAGUGUGGGAACGUCCACCAAAACAUACUGAAAAACAAUAGAGAAAUUAAUAUUAGCAUUUAAAACACACAUAAAUGUGUUGCAGUUUUUCUCAAAUGAAGUCAAAUAUUACUAAUGAACUGAAAAUAAAAUCAUUAAUUGACAACUAAACUUUUACAGUGUGAUAUUUUCAUCUUCUAGGACUUAUUAUUCUGUAACAUAA